rnacentral:lncRNA from 1 species
GGCUAUGCCUCAAUUGAUAAAGUGAACUAAUUGCCUACUUCAAAAGCAGUUUUGCAUGAAAGUCAACAUCUAAUUGGAAUUUACAAUGCCCGAUAUUUCUACACAUCUGCCACAAAUUUUAUGGAAAACAAUAUUUAUAGAAACUGAACAUACCUUGGUUAAACGUAUAUGAAAUGGGUAACCAUCCUCGAAGAACAUCAACCAGCCGUCGGCAAUGUGCAGGUGGACUGAGGAAUUUUCCGGUGUGUCCUUUAUGGACUAUACUCCGUCUUAGCACAAUUCCCAAGUUUUACCCGAGAGGCCAUGCCUCAAGUCGGACUCUCCUCCAUAUAUCUACUGACUUCAUAUAAACGAAAGUGUACUAAAGGCUCACUGAUCUACACUACCAGCUCAUGCUCAACGUUACUGAACAACAAAGUAAUCCGACAAUCAGACUGGACCCGGUCAUGUUAGAUACCAGUGGAAGGAGAUGAACAUACAAUUGACUCUGCAUCGAUGCAUGACUUCGCUCGGAACGCGGCAAGAAUUAACAAUGGAAGAAAAUACUACAGACUUGUUUAUUAACGAUAAAGUUAUUUUAGUUUUUAUGAAAUAGCGAUUGAAUAAAAAUAUUAGGUAUAUGAGUUUUAUUUAGAGAUGAAAUAAGUCAAGAA